rnacentral:rRNA from 1 species
CACGUAGGGCGCAAGCGUUGUCCGGAAUUAUUGGGCGUAAAGAGCUCGUAGGCGGUCUGUUACGUCUGCUGUGAAAACCCAGGGCUUAACCCUGGGCUUGCAGUGGAUACGGGCAGACUAGAGGCAGGUAGGGGAGAAUGGAAUUCCCGGUGUAGCGGUGAAAUGCGCAGAUAUCGGGAGGAACACCGGUGGCGAAGGCGGCUCUCUGGAACGGUACUGACGCUGAGACGCGAAAGCGUGGGGAGCGAACAGG